rnacentral:rRNA from 1 species
GACGAACGCUGGCGGCGUGCCUAAUACAUGCAAGUAGAACGAACAGACGAGGAGUUUGUUCCUUGGACGAUUGGCGAGCAGGGGUGUAACACAUGUGGAACAUGCCCGUAAAAGACUGGGAAAUAUUGGGAACACUGGCGAAUAUCCCGGAUAAGAUAUUGAACCGUAUGGUUUAAUAGAGAAAGACGAUUUUGUUGUUACUAAUAGAUGGUUCCGGGCGGUAUUAGGUAGUUGGUAAGGUAACGGCUUACGACGGCAACGCUCCGUAGCCGACCGGAGAGGGUGAUCGCCCCAAUGGGAACGGGAACACGGUCCAGACUCCUACGGGAGGCAGCAGAAGGGAAUCUUCGGCAAUGGGCGAAAGCCUGACGGAGCAAGGCGGCGUGGGUGAUAAAGUUCUUCGGAUCGUAAGACUCUGUUAUUGGGGAAAAACAAUUUUGGAAGUAACUAUGCACGUCUUGACGGUACCUAAUCAGAAAGCCACGGCUAACUACGUG